ACCUGCAGUCGAGGGGUAUAGGUUUUCGGACCUAGAGACCGGCGCACGGGUGCGUAACGCGUAUGCAAUCUACCUUUCACAGAGGGAUAGCCCAGAGAAAUUUGGAUUAAUACCUCAUAGUAUAUCGACUCGGCAUCGACAUGAUAUUAAAGUCACAACGGUGAAAGAUGAGCAUGCGUCCCAUUAGCUAGUUGGUAAGGUAACGGCUUACCAAGGCAACGAUGGGUAGGGGUCCUGAGAGGGAGAUCCCCCACACUGGUACUGAGACACGGACCAGACUCCUACGGGAGGCAGCAGUGAGGAAUAUUGGACAAUGGGCGCAAGCCUGAUCCAGCCAUGCCGCGUGCAGGAUGACGGUCCUAUGGAUUGUAAACUGCUUUUGUACGGGAAGAAACAACUCUACGUGUAGAGUCUUGACGGUACCGUAAGAAUAAGGAUCGGCUAACUCCGUGCCAGCAGCCGCGGUAAUACGGAGGAUCCAAGCGUUAUCCGGAAUCAUUGGGUUUAAAGGGUCCGUAGGCGGUUUUAUAAGUCAGUGGUGAAAGCCCAUCGCUCAACGGUGGAACGGCCAUUGAUACUGCAAGACUUGAAUUAUUAGGAAGUAACUAGAAUAUGUAGUGUAGCGGUGAAAUGCUUAGAGAUUACAUGGAAUACCAAUUGCGAAGGCAGGUUACUACUAAUGGAUUGACGCUGAUGGACGAAAGCGUGGGUAGCGAACAGGAUUAGAUACCCUGGUAGUCCACGCCGUANACGAUGGAUACUAGCUGUUGGGAAGCAUCUCAGUGGCUAAGCGAAAGUGAUAAGUAUCCCACCUGGGGAGUACGUUCGCAAGAAUGAAACUCAAAGGAAUUGACGGGGGCCCGCACAAGCG
rnacentral:rRNA from 1 species